UACGUAGGGUGCAAGCGUUGUCCGGAAUUAUUGGGCGUAAAGAGCUCGUAGGCGGUUUGUUGCGUCGGCUGUGAAAUCCCGAGGCUCAACCUCGGGUCUGCAGUGGGUACGGGCAGACUGGAGUGCGGUAGGGGAGAAUGGAAUUCCUGGUGUAGCGGUGGAAUGCGCAGAUAUCAGGAGGAACACCGAUGGCGAAGGCAGUUCUCUGGGCCGUAACUGACGCUGAGACGCGAAAGCGUGGGGAGCAAACAGG
rnacentral:rRNA from 1 species